rnacentral:rRNA from 1 species
AUUGAACGCUGGCGGCAUGCUUUACACAUGCAAGUCGAGCGGCAGCGCGGGGGCAACCCUGGCGGCGAGCGGCGAACGGGUGAGUAAUGCAUCGGAACGUAUCCUCGGGUGGGGGAUAACCCAGCGAAAGUUGGGCUAAUACCGCAUGAGCUCUGAGGAGGAAAGCGGGGGACCUGCGAGGGCCUCGCGCUGGAGGAGCGGCCGAUGUCCGAUUAGCUAGUUGGUGGGGUAAAGGCUUACCAAGGCGACGAUCGGUAGCUGGUCUGAGAGGAUGAUCAGCCACACUGGGACUGAGACACGGCCCAGACUCCUACGGGAGGCAGCAGUGGGGAAUUUUGGACAAUGGGGGCAACCCUGAUCCAGCCAUGCCGCGUGAGUGAAGAAGGCCUUCGGGUUGUAAAGCUCUUUCGGACGGAACGAAAUGGGCGGGACUAAUACUCCUGUCUGAUGACGGUACCGUAAGAAGAAGCACCGGCUAACUACGUG